GUUUUCUACAUGGAUGCCCUUUCUGAGGAUUGGUGGCAGUACAUGGGUUCACAGGAGAAGAAGAGACAAUUCACAGAGCUGACAUUAUAUUGCUUUUGUCUUUGCAGAGGUAUAUUGGCAGUCUAGGAAUAAAGA
rnacentral:snoRNA from 1 species